AGGAUUAGAUACCCUGGUAGUCCACGCUGUAAACGAUGAAGACUAGAUGUAGGUUGGGGAACUAAUCUGUAUCGAAGCUAACGCGAUAAGUCUUCCGCCUGGGAAGUACGGCCGCAAGGUUGAAACUCAAAUGAAUUGACGGGGGCCCGCACAAGCGGUGGAGCAUGUGGUUUAAUUCGAUGCAACGCGAAGAACCUUACCUACCCUUGACAUCCUGCGAACCCUGAUGAGAGUUGGGAGUGCCGAAAGGAGCGCAGAGACAGGUGCUGCAUGGCUGUCGUCAGCUCGUGUUGUGAGAUGUUGGGUUAAGUCCCGUAACGAGCGCAACCCUUGUCCUUAGUUACCAUCAUUCAGUUGGGGACUCUAAGGAGACUGCCGGUGAUGAACCGGAGGAAGGCGGGGACGACGUCAAGUCAUCAUGGCCUUUAUGGGUAGGGCUACGCACGUGCUACAAUGGGUCGUACAGAGGGUAGCCAACCCGCGAGGGGGAGCCGAUCUCAAAAAGCGACUCGUAGUCCGGAUUGAAGUCUGCAAUUCGACUUCAUGAAGUCGGAAUCGCUAGUAAUCGCGAAUCAGCCAUGUCGCGGUGAAUACGUUCCCGGGCCUUGUACACACCGCCCGUCACGUCAUGGAAGUGGAUGGU
rnacentral:rRNA from 1 species